GGAAUGGGGAGGGCAUGGCCAGUGUCCAGUGAGAACAGAGAAUGCUCUAGGGUUCUGGGGCCGGACUUGGAGCUGUGCAGAGACCUGGGAUCUACCAGAGAUGCAGCCCCCAAGUACAUGGGGUAGUGAGGAAGCCCUCUGGUCUCUCUUCUCCCAUUCUUUUACUCUUUUCUUGUUCCUUCCACUGGCCCAAAAAACUGAACGCCAACAGGCAAGGGAUCCCAGGUGAAGCCUCACAGGAGGCUGACCUCCCAGGACUUACAUCAAGGCAGAUGGUGAGUGCCCCCCAAUGGUGAGUGCAUGUGCCAGCCAUGAUAGAUGGGAGUGGGAUGAUCCUCAGGCCCCUGGCAGAGAGUUCAGUUUCUGAGGUCAUCAGAGAAGAUUUGCCAGAGGCUUUCGCUUACCCAAGGGAAGUAAUGUUAAAGGGUCAUGUGUUUUUCUGAAGCAAAGUAUCGCUUUUACAGAGAAAUGGCUGCUACCUAGGGCCAGUGCCUUCACAGUGAGUGCCAAUGUGUUUCACAGUCCAUGCUCACCUCUGGUAAUUUCCAAAAUCUGUCAUCAAAAUGAUCCAGAUCAUGAACUCAGAGAGAAACAACCCAUACUGGCUUGUCUGACCUCCCUGAUAGUCUAUCAACGAGAUUGAUUCUAUCUCAGUCUUACGGAUGCAAUUCUUCAUAUCCAAAAGAUACUGCCAUUUGUAGCACUUGUUCUAAGGCAGCAAAAGCAGCAGGAAGGACCAAUUCUACCUACAGCACAGGAUUCCAGAGAUGUCUUGAUUUUUAUUAAUGUUGGUUUCAAUGGAUGUUCCCCAGGUUUGGUUAUGCUAAGUAGAAGAUACAGAUUUGUAAUGCCUAAAUUCUCACACUUCUAAUCCUACAGUCCAAUUAUUCUGUUAACCAGGCAUUUGCUACAAUGUGCUCUGAAGAAAUGGAUUGGAAAUAAACAAAUAAAUAAAUAAAUAAAUAAUUCCACAGGAGGAAAAAAAUGCGUUCUGAAAGGAUCAGGAUUUUCAAAGCCCCCAAGCUUCAACAUAUCCGAGGAUCGAAGGCCUGAAUAAAGUGGCAUCACAGAAGUGUGAGAACAGCCUUUCCCCAUUCUCCGGAGUGGAUCCAUGAGCCAGGAGUCAGGCCUGCACUUUGAGGAGCGGAAGUGCUUUUGUGAGGACAAGCAAGAAUGUCUUGUAAUUUCAACUACCCUUAAAGCUGUUUCAGGGUUCCCUGAUAAUGAACUAACUGAUACUGGGACUUCCCUUCUCCAUCCCCCAAAGAAAAGCUGCGUUCCAACUCAACACCUCAUAGAACCAGAGCCCCCUAAUAUCCCUAGGUGUGGGCAGCUGGCAUUCCCCAACAUUCCCCUAACACCCAGCACCUAAGCUAAGAAUGCUUGGGGCCUGAACCCCAAAUGUUUAUUCAGCCAUGUAAAGCCACUUGCACACUUGUCCUAUAAAAAAGGAAAGCAACAGAAUGUUUUUCUCCUCUUGGAGCAGAGCCCCACAGUGAAUCUAGCAAUGCACUGGCUCAAACAUGCCCCCUUUUCAGCAGCAUGCUGAAAGAAAUAGGAUCCAUGCGUCAGCUGGAAUUUCUAUCUCUGAGUUUCUACCUAAACUAAGUGAUACUUUCUGUUAUUCCCAGUCACAUCAAAACAAAUGUGAGAUUCAAAUUUUAAACUGGGCUAUACUGUAACAAAUUAGACUUGACUCUUUUUGUUUUGUUUUGUUUAAAUAACAGAAAGUGACUAGAAAACUAUAGGAUCCACCUAAGAUGCUAAGACAUGGCAAAGUGAGACCAAACAUAGCACAACAAAUAGUUGGAGACAAAAUAAAAGCAUUUUACAUUUGUGCACUACAAUGUUCAGGCUAUUCAACACACUGAUUUCACACAUACAGUCCCAUUUAUUGCCAACAAUAACCCUGCAAAGUAGGUACUAUUAUUGGGCACAUUUUACAUAUAAAACGACUUAAAAUUAGAGGAGGUAGUAUAUAUUUUCCUAAUUUUUGGCAGCCCAGCAUCUAAAGCCCUUUUCUAUGCUUGAAGAAUGCCCUGCCUUAUGAGUGAGUCUUGCUGGAAAGAAGAGACCAGCUUCCAAUAUAAAAACUGAAAAUACCAAAUACUUUUCCCAUAUUCCCUGAUAACUAUCACACUGACAUUAGAAGAGUCUCCACCAACAGAUGUGAGCAUGCCAGUUUUCCCCAGAAUCUAAAGAUACAAAGAAAGAGGAUUUUUGUGGGAAACCACUCUGGUGAAAAUGCCAGUGGAAGUCCUACACUGAACCCGAUUUCCAGUGGCAAGAAUUUUAGUGGCUCCAGCAGCGAUGCCCAGUGCUCCGUGACUAUGGGUUCACAAUGUACACAAACUGGUUGGGCCACUGCAGAUGAAAGAGAUGGCUUCAAGUGCUCAGUUAUGUGUCUUGAUUGGUAAUGUGGCCAUUGGCUGGGUAAUGUCCACACUGCUUCUCUGGCCCUUUUGAAGUGUCUGUUAGCCAUAAUAACUAGAUUUAUUUUCUGAUUAAAUUAGCUAGAAUUAGGUUCUGACUGACUUAGGAUAAGUAAUUGCUCUCUGAUCACACAUAGAGCAAAUGAUGGAGCUGGAAUUCCAGUCUUCACUAGGUUAUACUGAAUGAUGAGAUAAUGUUAUGGGCUGAAUUCAUGUGUUGAAGUCCUCAUCUCCAGAACCUCAGAAUGUCUGUAUUUGGAGAAGAGUUUUUAAUGUUGUAAUUCAGUGAAAGUGAGGUCAGUAGGGUGGCUAUAAUUCAAUAUGACCUGAAUCCUUACGAGAAUGAAAAUCUGGACACAGAAAUCCGUGUGGGAGGCCAUGUGAAGACACGGAGAAAGCAUCCAUCUGUGAGCCAAAGAGAGAGGCCUCAGAAGAAACCACCCCUGCAGACACCUUGUAAUUGGACGUCUAGCCUUCAGAACUGUGAAACAGGAAAUUUCUGUUAUUUAAGCCACCCAGUCUAUGGUACUUUGUUAUGGCAGUCCUAAUAAACUAAUACCAGGAAUGAGGAAUACGAAAGAAUUCAAGAUGAUCUCAAAGUUGCUCAAUGAGGUGACUUUAGAAAAGAUGAAGGGUAUGAGAGGAGUAGCCAUUGCAGAAGGAGAACAAGAUCAUGAAUUCAAUUCAGAAAACUUUGAUUUUGAGACCUCUGCAGGAGAAAAUAAGAGAAAGCUUCAAAGGCCUAGCUUCCUUUAUAGAGUCCUGGGAGAGACCUAAAGUUGAGGAAUAGAGAGAAAAGGCACCUCUGGAUACUCACUGGCAUUGGAUCCAGCUCUGAGUUGCUUGCUUUCUGGGCUUCAGAAUGACAAAGCAGGUUUAUGCACAGAGUUUUUCAAUAAGCAAGUCCCCACUGAAGGUCACAGGCCUAUUUCAGCAGUGGGAGAAACCACAGUCAGCAGUAUUGGGCCAUGCAAGUGAAGGGUUGUUCACUGGAGAGGUUUGUUACCUUAUUGGGAAGAUGAAGUUUUCAUCCAGCAUUAAGCCUAUGGCUAUAAUUCAGGGAUGAGACAAGGGUGUUUGCAUUUGUUAGCAUGAAGACAAACAAAUCCAACACCCUUAGGUCAGAAUUUCAGCUUAACAUGGUAUCUUGUGCUUGAAUAUCCCUUGCAACCUCUCCUGACUUUCCACUUUCCAAAGUGAGUCUUUUAAAAUGCUCACGUUUUGGCUCACACCUGUAAUCCCAGCACUUUGGGAGGCCGAGGCGGGCGGAUCACGAGAUCAGGAGAUCAAGACCACGGUGAAACCCCGUCUCUACUAAAAUACAAAAAAUUAACCGGGCGUGGUGGUGGGCUCCUGUAGUCCCAGCUACUCGGGAGGCUGAGGCAGGAGAAUGACGUGAACCCCGAAGGCGGAGCUUGCAGUGAGCCGAGAUUUCGCCACUGCACUCCAGCCUGGGCGACACUGCGAGACUCCGUCUCAAAAAAAAAAAAAAAAAAAAAAAAAAAAAGGCCACGUUUAUUGGUCUUAUGCCUAUAAAAAAAGUCUAUGUGGACAACCACUCAUUGAUUCAAUAAAUAAUGCUUAAGUGCUUACUCUGUGCCAGGAUUCUGAAAGGCACUGUGGGUAAAUGGUAGGCAAAUCUAAACCUGGUCCUGCCUUCAGAGAGUCUACUGUUUGAACGGAAAAAGAAGAGAAUGAGGCCAAACAAGAGGUUGUUCACCUGAGGAAAUGGAUGGGAGCUGGGCAAGCCUACCUGGCAGAGGCUCACCUGGCUGAGUACCUAUGAAAUUGCCAUGGAUGAUCUCAAAAUUCAAAGAAAAGUCCAGUGCAUAUAAAUAAAAACCUUGAAAACACAAAUUCAUAGGCAAAAGGCUGAGAGGCCACAUAAAUUACUUUUAGUGAAAACAACAAAUAAUAUUAGUAUUAUUUCUGUUUCAGUAUUCAAGGCAGUGGUGAUGGGAACUUGAGGGCAUGAGAAUCAGGGCAAAGAGAAUUACUGAAAGAGUAAAACUAUCUUAAAGAUGUGAGGUUGGCCACUGAUGGAGAGGACAAGCAGGACAGGGAUCGGGGGACCAAAGUCCAGCUGCACUGACUCCAUUCAGCUCUGCUCUGUUCACCCUCAUCCCAAACCUGUCCCCAUCCCCAGACAAAUAGAAGCUGUGGACAAAGAUUGUUUUUGCCCUCCACAUCUCCAAUACUCUGUUUUCAAAUGACUGCAACCAACCCAACAAAAGAACUCACUUAACAUAUUAGUAGUAUCUUAAAUGAUGCAAUUUUAUCUUGUCCAUGAAAUAGCUUCAAUUAAAACAAAUUAUCUCUUUCCAUUCAUAGCUUAAUUCAUAUAGCACAUCUGAUAGAGCCUUUUUAAAUGCUCACUUUUAUUGGUCUUAUUUCAAAAUUAAUUCAUGUUUAUAGUCUAGCAUUUAGAAAAUUCCAAGGCAAAGCAGGCUACAUUUGUGUGUUUCCUCUUGGUGUCUCCAGUGCCCCAUGCCGCCACUGCACAGAGGACAUUAAGCAUUGAACACAGAGAACUAAACCACUUAAGGAACCACCCAUAAUCUCAAUACCAAUAGAUACUUACCCUCACUUUUUUGAUAUGUUUUUUCCAGUCACUUGUGUAUGUAAGCAUACAUACAAAAACAGGUGUGUGUGUGUGUGUAAAAAUGUGUGUUUACAGAGUUCGUUUUACAGGAAAGCACAAAGUCAGAUAGUUGUUAUCGGGCACCUAUGGGAAAUGUCAUAGGAGACUAAAGAUGAGACGAAAACUUUGGGACCACCACUCUUAAUCAUCCUAAUACUUGAUCUUUCCAUGGCUACCCUGAGAUAGAAUAAAUGGCUUUUGUAAAACAACUUAAACCUCAUCUCCUUAAUUGAGGUAUCCUGCUUUCUUACUCUUAUUUACGUGUCUAAGUCAGGGAGAAACAUCCCAUUAUGUCACAAAUAAGAUUAAAGGUAGUUGUAAUUAAAUUUCACCAUGUGCCCUGAGUUUUCCCACCUGAGAAUUAUAAGAAAAAAAUCAAAAGGUCUUCUCCUCUUACUAGACUACCCACCAAAUGGUCAUUACAUUUUCCUGUAGGCUGCAGAUAAAAUCUCUCUAUCAUAAGUCUCCCAAUCACCAAGUGAGAAAACACCACUCUGGGGUCCAGGGAUGUGUAGGCAAUUGAAGAGUUUCUCUUUUAAGAAUGGCAGCUCAUUAGGGUAAGUGUCCAAGAACAUAAUGAAAAAAUUGUGGUAUAUUUAUACUGGGGGAUAUGCCAGAUUAAAAAACGAACACAUUUGAGUUACAGAUAGCAACAUGGAUAAAUCUCUAAUGCAGAAUUUUAAUAAGAAAAAGGCAUAUUGCAGAAUUAUAGGUGCAGUAUAAUACCAUGUAUAUAAAGUUUAAACACAAAAACAUGCUAUAUAUCUUUUAUGGAUAUAUCCUUGUGCAGUAAAAAAUAUAAAAUAUGCAUAAGAAUGACAAAGACAAAUUUUAGAGGAUUUAUUCCCUUAGGGAGAAAAGGAAACGGCAUCACAAGGAUUACAAGAUUUGAAUUGAAUCUACAAUAUUUUAUUCCUUAAGCUGAGUAGCGGGUACAUGGGUGUUCAUAUACUCAAAACCAUUUUUGGCACAUGAAAUAUUUUAAAAUUUUUUAAAAAGCUAGAUAGUAUGAUUGACAUCUUCAGAUACUUGAAGAUCUGGCAUGUUGAUGAUGGAAAGUAUCCUAUGACUAAGUAGGUAAAGCUAUUAUGAAGGCAAAUUUUAGGUCAUUCUUAGGAAAAACCUAAAAGGGCUGUCUAAAAAUGAACAGUGUCUUCUACAUGAUUAAGGAGUAAAACAGAGUUAAGGUCUUCGGAGGUAGCAAGUCACAGUGCAAGUAGAGUUCACUUGUCUUUGUCUUGAAAGCAAAGAUUUCUUUUCUCUUGCAAAAUUCCCGGGACAUAUCCUGAUAAAGCUUUACAUCUCAGCAGCAUCACUCUGAUUGCUCUUUUUUCAGUUGGUGUCAUUGGAAGCCCCUAAACCCUAUUUAACUUCAGUGCCAUUGACUGGCACUUCCUGCCACUUACAUCUUUGCCAUUUGGCAGUGCCUGGGUUGGACAGAUCUGCCACCUGGUUCUGGUUCUGCAUUAUUGUCAUUCCUUGUGCCAGUCAUAAGGAUUCACUGGCACCCCUCUGAGAUUAGGAGUUCUCCAGGUCUGGAGAUAUUAAAAAAGAGAGAGAUGGUCAGCGAUGCUAUAGAAGGGAUUUUAGUAGUCUCUGGUAUGCUGGAGCACAUAACCUUUGAGUAUGGAUUUCCAUAUUCAUUUAUUCAAGAAAUGUUUAGUGAGUGUUUACUUUGUGCAAAGCACCUUGCUCGUUAAGCUUCUAUGGCUCUAGAAUUUGUCUUUGAAAAUGCGUCUCUAACUUUACAGAAAUGAAAAUUGAGACAUGAUGGGAAAACUUAUUUUAAGCAAACAAUAAGGCAGGCAGGCAGGCUGUGGUUUGCAGACCGACCACUUCUAGCCUUAUUGCCAAGAGCACUACGAGAGUCACAGGAACAUUUUGGAGAUAAUGUUACAUUCACAGACUUGUACAUGUCUUACAGUGAAAGACACCCCAGAGGUUAUCCAAUUCAAAUACUUCAUUUUACAGACGAGGAAACAAAAGCCUGGGGAGGUAUGUGGCUAACUGAUUGCAGAAUCUAUUCUCAGAUAUGGUAUUUCCUUCCCAACCUUGAAAGUUGUGUUCCUGAAAACCUCCAUGGAAGGAGAAAUUACACUUGAGGAACUUACGACCUUAGGAAGAAAAUAGAGUUUGGGGAGUAAGAUAGUGAGUGAAUCUGAGAAAGUUAUCAUCAUUGUUUUAUAUCUACUAAUAAAACAAUGUAGGUACCAUUGAUACCCACUUUAUUUUAUGCCGAACGCAUUUGUAAUGGUGAAUCUUGUACAGGUGAUUUUAUUUACUUCUUAGAAUUCCUUAUUAACACUUCUCUAGGCUCUCUAUACACAAUUUUUGUAAAACUUCUUGUGAGUCAUUGCCUUUUUGUGUAAAUACUGGUUACAAUGGAUUGUUUUCUGUUUCAGGUCCUGUUGUCUCUGCCUUUUUGCAUCUUUGACAUUAUCAUUGUAACUUAUAACUUCUAACCUCUACUCUGACUCAACUUGGUUGUUUCCUGAUUCCUCUCUCUCCUUCUUGCUGUUCCUUCUCUCUGCUGUCCUUUAACUGUAGCUGCUCACCAGGACUAUGCUGUAAACUUUCACCUCCUCUCACUGUUUACUCUACCUAUGUAACUAUCAUGUUUGAUAAUGAGGUCCUGCUGAAUAAGCCUGUUUGCUGUCUUUCCAGGCUGUGCUUUCCCACUCCUGCAGCUACUGCCUUAAUUCAGGUUAUCACUGUCUCUCACUAGGACCCCUGCACUAAUCUCCUUGAUUGGUCAAAGGUUUCAUUAUUUGCAUUGUGCUCUGAGUGAAAUUUUCUUAUGACGGCUUACAGUUCCCAGUGGCUGCAUGUGCCUAUAGAACACUAACUUCCUAAGCAUUUCAUCCAAGGCCCUCCACCUUAGCUCUUGUACCCUUUACUCCAGCCAUAUUUAUUGACCCUACUUGAUGGCCUAAUGUACCAGACUAUUUGGCAUCUUCAUGCCUUUGUGAACUGACUUUUCUUCAUCAGGAAUGCCCUUCACUCUGCCCCUCUCACGCUACCCAUUUCCCCUCCCACGUGCAAUCACCUGCCUGGUGAACAUCUACUCUUCCUCGAAAACUUUGCUCAUACCAUCACCUCUCCCUUGGAGGUACCACUUCCUACUCCUACUUUCUGCUCAUCUCGUACCUCAUUAAAGAGAAUAGGAGGUUCCCACCACAAAAUCUGAAAGCCUCCUGCCACAAAACCUGUCUUCUUCCCUCUGUGCAACUGAAUGUGACUCCUUGUAAUCAAAUGCUCAUCCCUCAAUUCAUGUUGGGAAUCCCAUCUCUCUCACUUUCUCAAGAAGUUCAAUGCUUCUGUCAGACUGUCUCCAGUCAAUUAUUCCCAUCAGCAUAUAAACAUAAUCCAGUAUUACUGUCCUAACCAAUACUCCAUAUUGAUCCACAUCCCUUUCCAGCUACCAUUCUUUUCUGUCUUUCACAAUAAAAUUCCAUAAAAUAGUUGUGUACACACAGCACUUUUAUGUUUUCACUUCACAGUCACUUUGGAAUUCACUUCAAAUUGGCAUUCACCCACAUGACCCAGUUGGUCACUAAUGACCUUUAUAGUGCUAUGUCCACAUUUUCAUCUCACUAGAACUUUCAGCAACAUCCAACAAUUGACCAUUCUCUUCUCAAAAUUGGCCAUUCUCUUCUUGAAAUUGUUCUUGGCUUACAUGAUUCCAUAUUUCCCUGGUCUUUUAUCUGCUUCUCUACCUGCUCCUCCUAAGCCUCUGUUGUGUCUUUUCUUCCACUUUCUAUAAUACCUCUAAGUAUUGAAUUUCCUCAGUAUUCUGCUCUGAACCCCAUGCCUUAUGUUUCCAUAAAUAAUCUCAUUCAUCCUCAUGGCUUAAAAUACCAAUUCCAAGCCAAUGACUCCUAUGUCUGUAUCUCUAGUCCUAACCUCUCCUCUGACCUCCUGACUUAUACUCUUGUCUUUAUAACACCCACUUAUGAAUGCUUCAUGGACAUCUCACAUAAAUAUAUCCAAGACUGCAUUUUUAUUUCCCUCUGAAAACCUAGUCCUCCUUCCAUCCUCCCCACCUCCCUUUUUUGGCAACAUUAUCCACGCUGUUGAUCAGGUCUGGAUCCUGGGAGUCACUAAUUAUUUCUCCCUGUAUUUCUUCCUCUAGUCCAAUUCGUCACUAAGUCUGAUCAUCUGUCUCCUAAAUGCAGCAUAAGGAGAUCCACUUUUCUUUAUCGUUACUGCCACAUUGUAGUUUGAUCUACUAUUAUUUUAAACUUAACAACCACAAUACCUUCAAACUGAUCUCCAUGCACACAGAACACAGUGACUCUCAUCCUUAAUUGAAUCUCUACACAGCCACAGAAACAGUCUUUCUUGAAACAUAAAUCCCAGCAUGACACUGCCUGACAUGCAAUCUCUCUUUGCACUUUGUCUUAGUCCAGGUACAUCAGUGUUGCUAUAAGUCCUGUUGGUCAGCCUCCUGCCCCGUACCCUAAGCUCAUCUUACAUCAGCGAGUCCUCACUCUCCACUCUCUAGACUGACUCCUGAUGUUUUCUCAAGCAAGUUGAUUUCUUUCUCAUCUUAAUCCUUCACAGGUGGUACAUAGUGCUUCCCGAGUUUAGAUCUCCACUCUCCCUUAUGUUCUCAUAAAGGAUUCAUAUGUCCUUUAGGUCUUGGCUUAAAUGCCAUCUAUUCAGAGAAGCCUUCCCUGGCGACCUUAUCUGAGUCAAUCUUCCAUUGUUAUAUUGUUAUAUUGAUUUGCUUUGUUUCUUGCUACUUCUUCUACUUGACUCGGUAGAAGGCUCUGCAUAAUUGACCAAAAUAUAUACAGUGUUUUUCAGAGUGCUAGUCACCUAUUAGUACUGAAGAAUUAUUUGUUGAAUAACUUAAUGAUUUUUUUGCAGUUACACGAGUGUUGUUUUGAUUGACUGAAAAUAGAUUGCCUAAGAUGACAUGAAAGAUCAAAGGUGAAGAGUGGAAGAUAGCACCACUUUGGGUUAAAAGUUUACUUAAGUCAGCAACUCCUCAAGAAACAGCUACCAGCAUUCCUGGGACUAUUAUGCCCUGGUCUACUUGUAGCCUGUUUGUAUUCCAGCCUACUUUGGCACCUUGCCGUCUCUGCUUACCGACUUUCUGCAUAAGAGUGAAAUAGAAAGUGACUUGGAACCAUGUAUACCUAAAGUGUGACAUUUAAAAAAACGUCCUCAGAAAAACUAAUAUCCUGGUUAUUUUUGAAUGUGCUAAGAGACUCUUUUUUUUAAUCUUGUUUUUUUAUUUUGAAUAUAGAGCACAUUGAGGUUUAAAAUGGAAAAUUCUAUUAAAAAUAAAAGGCAUACGUUUACAUAUCUUACAAUUACCUCUGCUUCUGUCCCUCCCAUUCCUUAUGAG
rnacentral:lncRNA from 1 species